CUAGGUUUUUUUAAAUCAAAUACCUAAUUGUUUAAAUUUGUUAACUAAAUUUAAUUUUUUACAUUCAAUUAGGUUAAAAAUGGGGGAUAACAAUGAAAACACUGACCAACCACAACUGCAACAACCAAACCCUCAUUUUCCAAACCCCCCUGCAAUUCAAGAUUUGAUUGCACAAAAUUUGAAUGAAUUGAGGGGGAUUGCAGAAGUAUAUCGUAGGAUCCCUCGUCUAAACCCAAUGUUUGAUCCUCUCACGUCAAUCAUAAAAAGUAUGGAAACCAUGACUGAGGAGCACGAUGAUGCCCUUUUGUGGCGAGAUUCUAUGAGGGAAAAAUAUGCAGAUGGCUUGUCGUAUAAGGAUAUCAAGGAUCUUGAGAUAUCCAAAGCCAAAAUUACCUCAUUUUUUGUCAAUCCCCAUACUGGUCAGCCCAUAGAUCCCAAAAAUACAAAAAUUUCUAUUAAAUAGUGCACAAAUGAUGGGAUUGUGAAAAAGUUUUGGGAUCGUUGGUGGAUGGUUUUUGACAAACCACCCAACAACAAUCUUGAUAUCCCCUUCUAUUUCAUAAAAAAAUUGUAUGCUGAGUUUGUUUUACACAAACAUGUGAACUACUUUGACAUCCAACCUUUCCAGGGUGUAGGUUUAGGUAUGCCCCAAAAUAGACCUGGGGCAGUCAGAGUAGUCCAGGGCCCAUAUGUCCCCCUUCCUCCUGUUGAUCCCCCACCUACAGUUCAGCAUCUUGAUAUCAUUUGUGAGGCGGUUUCACGGACCAUAUCGACUAUUCACUCUUUGAGUAGCCUUUUGGUUUCUUAGGCUGUGUCAGUAGCUCAACCUACUCUUGAUGGUAGUGGUGCAUCUGGUGCCGGUGAAACGUCAUCUUCGGCUCCACACAUAUGUGUGCCCCAUAGUUGUGUCAUUUGUGGGCACGUAUGCUUGGGUCCAGUUGGACAGCCUGUUGAUCCUCCUAUGGAUAGUGCAGAUUAUGAGGUGCAUGAGAUGCAUGAUGCACCAGAUGUUAUUACACAGACUAGAGGAUACCCUGGGGAGUCCUCACAUGCUAGAGGCGAGGAGGCAGCAUCAUCAUACAUUGAUGAUGUAGUGUUGAUGAUCGAGGAUGAGUUGAGAUAGAUUCAGGAGGGCACCUUGUCAACCAUUUCAUUUGGCCUUGAUAGCUUGAAGGGCACAAGUAGCACGAGUGCAGGGCAGUGUGAUUUAGGAUCUGGUAGUGCAGUUGGAGACAAGGGAAAUAGAAUUCUUAGCUUCACAUCCUUGAUGACUACACCCAGUAUACUUGAAGAAGAAGAAGAGAUGCCUCGAGUAGAUGUUGUGUAUGAAAAUAUUUAAAACAUACCUCCUCUACCGAAGACAUACAUCAAAAGUCCUGCAAAGCUGAAGAGAAAACAUGGAGAUGAGGAUCCUUCAGAGCCGAGCAGUGCAGCGAAAAGGAUUGAUUUUGAUGAUCCAUCAACAGCUUAGGAUAUUAUAGAUAGUUUUGGGAUGCUUACAUGUCUAGUUGACAUGUAUAUUUUGUAUAUGGACAUACA